rnacentral:rRNA from 1 species
CACCGCCCGUCACAUCACGAAAGUGGGUUGCACUAGAAGUCGGUGCGCUAACCGCAAGGGAGCAGCCGCCCAAGGUGUAAUUCAUGAUUGGGGUGAAGUCGUAACAAGGUACCC